ensembl:miRNA
GUAUUAGGUUGGUGCAAAAGUAAUUGCAGUUUUUGCAUCACUUUUAAUGGCAAAACCCACAAUUACUUUUGCAUCAACCUAAUAU